GCUUAUCCGUAAACUUAUACAUUUAAAUACAAUAAAAUGUCCGCCAGGGUACUACGAGCACUAGCUUAAAACCCAAAGGACCUGACGGUGUCUCAGAUCCAUCUAGAGGAGCCUGUUCUAAAACCGAUAACCCCCGUUCAACCUCACCACUUCUAGCUAUUUCAGCCUAUAUACCGCCGUCGUCAGCUUACCCUGUGAAGGGAAAAAAGUAAGCAAGAUGGGUACAACCCAGAACGUCAGGUCGAGGUGUAGCGCAUGAAGUGGGAAGAAAUGGGCUACAUUUUCUACCACAGAAAACUACGAAUAUGCACCAUGAAACAGUGCUUAAAGGAGGAUUUAACAGUAAGAGGGAAAUAGAGUGUCCCCCUGAACCCGGCUCUGAGACGCGUACACACCGCCCGUCACCCUCUGCAGUCAACAACCCACC
rnacentral:rRNA from 1 species